rnacentral:rRNA from 1 species
UGAGGAAUAUUGGUCAAUGGGCGAGAGCCUGAACCAGCCAAGUAGCGUGCAGGAUGACGGCCCUAUGGGUUGUAAACUGCUUUUAUGUGGGGAUAAAGUGCGUGACGUGUCAUGCAUUGCAGGUACCACAUGAAUAAGGACCGGCUAAUUCCGUGCCAGCAGCCGCGGUAAUACGGAAGGUCCGGGCGUUAUCCGGAUUUAUUGGGUUUAAAGGGAGCGUAGGCUGUCUAUUAAGCGUGUUGUGAAAUUUACCGGCUCAACCGGUGACUUGCAGCGCGAACUGGUCGACUUGAGUAUGCAGGAAGUAGGCGGAAUUCAUGGUGUAGCGGUGAAAUGCUUAGAUAUCAUGACGAACUCCGAUUGCGCAGGCAGCUUACUGUAGCAUAACUGACGCUGAUGCUCGAAAGUGCGGGUAUCAAACAGG